rnacentral:misc_RNA from 1 species
UGGGCGAAUAAAAAAUAUAAAACUUCUAGCUGACCCAUGCUUACUCCACUAGGGAGGCGUCAAGUCCAGUAGAAUAAGCAUAGGAAAUUGACAUUACUCGUUAAUUAUAAGUUUACAGUACUCAGAUGGCAUAAAAGUAUCACUAAAUGUAAAAAAUCGACUAUUACUGACCCCAAAACUAUUAGUGUGUUGAGAAUUAUUUGACCAGCGAUUUCGAUUAUGUCCUCUUCGUUGGUGAUUCUUAUGUUGCCAAUUAUUUUGAUAACCCAUUUGCUGUUGAUUCCCAUUUUGCCAUCUGUUUCGAACUGGAGUACUUUGGUUUAAGGGUAUGAAAUCAUCUGACAUAUUUAUUUUUGUUUUUUAAGUUUCUAAUACAUGUAAAUAAUUGAUUUCGUAAAACACAAAGCGUUCAGAUGGCCAAGUAGUAAACAACUAAACACAUUAACGCAGUGUUGUGCAGUUGUCCUUGUGCUUUUAACUUAGAAAUGUGUCAUACGUCAGUAAGACUGUCACACCGUGCUGUCACAGUCCACAGAUGCUACUUGUAACUUGUUUGUCACAAAUGACUUAAGGCUAGCUUACACUUCGAUUAGUACAGGUGUUUAGCAAUUGCGGUGCGAGUGCCAGUCCUUAGUGCCAGUUGUGUUCAAUACUGUUUAGCUCCUGCGAUUAGUAAUUCAAGUUUUGGGCGUCGAGCAGCAAGUAUGGAUGAACAAAAACAAGCGCGCUUGCUAUUGCAAGAAAUACUUUUAAAAAAAUGAACGCGGUAGUGUUUGAAACUAAAGAACUUUUCGAAUCGGAACUUGCAAGGUCAAACUAUAGGAACGAAAGUGGAUAAGUAGUAGACCCAUUCAUGGCGCACGCUACCAACUUCUCCAGGAAUUGGCUUCUGAAGAUACCACGGAAUAUUACUAUGCUCAGGUACCUAGUGACACCAAAUAGAAAAAGAUUGAGCAAGGUUUCAAAAAUUCUUGGUGUUUCCCUAGUUGCUAAGGUGUUAUAGAUGACCAUUAAAGCUCCACCACAAGCAGGAAGUUAUUACUACAACCAUAAAAAAUCUAAUAGCAUUGUACUCGUGGCAGUAGCAGAUGAUGGCUACUGUUUUACAUAUUUUGAUGUUGGCUGUAAUAAAAGUAUAUCAGAUGGUGGAGUUUUCUCAAAUUGUUUUUCAUUCUGCUGAGGUGAAUUCUUUUGAUAAUCACCUUAUGAUUUUUGCCGAACUCGCAUGCUUUGACUGGAAGGUAUAAAAUCUUUAAACAUAUUUUUUUUGUUUCAAAAGUUAAAAAACUGUUGCUUCACCUACUUACUAAACCUUUGCGUUGAAACAAUGACUUGUUUGCAUGUGUGUUCAUAAGCUCGCGGUCUAUAAAUAAAUGCCAAAACGAUACUUACUGCCCCGUAUUUUAUUAUCAUACUCUAUUUUGUACUACUUACAGCACCAUAAAUUAAUACUAUGCACAAAACUGCCAUAAAUCACCUGUCUAUAGCGACAACUAUAUAACUGAACUAUCUUUGUUUCAUCUAUAGUCUGGCCCAGUCUGGCCGCUCAAAGAAUGCAUUUCUGACAGAUCAUGUUCGACUAGACGAUGCAACUUUAAACUGGCGUACAAUUUACGGCAAAUUUUUUAAAUAUCUUUUAUUUACCUUAUUAACGAGUGAUAAUAUUAAAAUUCGAAUAAUUAUGCCAACUUACUGUAAAUGUAUUAAUUUUAGGCUAAAAUUAUUACAAUUACUUAAAUAACAAAUAUAAAAACAAUAGCUUUUAAAAGUCAAACCACGUCAAAC